CCAAACAGCUUGGAUGUGGGG
rnacentral:miRNA from 1 species